rnacentral:rRNA from 1 species
ACAAGUACCGUGAGGGAAAGUUGCAAAGUACUUUGAAGAGAGAGUUCAAGAGGACGUGAAACCGAUAGGAUGGAAGCAGAUGAAGUUGACGAACGUGUGUCGUAUUCAAAAUCGCUGUCAGCGGUUUGUUUUUACGGCCGAUGUGGGCCGGCGGCUUUGGUCAAUGCAACGCGUCUAGCGUCGAUGGUGACCCUGCGGAGGGACAAUCAGUCGUCGUACGGUGCUUGGUAUGGCUAAGGUUUCGCCGGUCUUAAAGUCAGCGCCUCAUCUGACCCGUCUUGAAACACGGACCAAGGAGUGUAGCGUUUGCGCAAGUCUUAGAGUGUAUCGAAACUUUGAGGCGUAACGAAAGUAAAUGCAGUUUAAUCUGCUGACUUGGGAUGCGUUGUCUCUUGUGGACGGCGCUGGACCAAGGUUUUAUCGCGAUCGCUUGCAGUGCGGUGAAAAUAGAGCGUAAACGGUGCGACCCGAAAGAUGGUGAACUAUGCCUGAGCAGGAUGAAGCCGGAGGAAACUCUGGUGGAAGUCCGAAGCGGUUCUGACGUGCAAAUCGAUCGUCUGACUUGGGUAUAGGGGCGAAAGACUAAUCGAACCAUCUAGUAGCUGGUUCCUUCCGA